AACGAACGCUGGCGGCAGGCCUAACACAUGCAAGUCGAGCGCCCCGCAAGGGGAGCGGCGGACGGGUGAGUAACGCGUGGGAACGUACCCUUUGCUACGGAAUAGCCUCGGGAAACUGGGAGUAAUACCGUAUGUGUCCUUCGGGAGAAAGAUUUAUCGGCAAGGGAUCGGCCCGCGUUGGAUUAGGUAGUUGGUGGGGUAAUGGCCUACCAAGCCGACGAUCCAUAGCUGGUUUGAGAGGAUGAUCAGCCACACUGGGACUGAGACACGGCCCAGACUCCUACGGGAGGCAGCAGUGGGGAAUCUUAGACAAUGGACGCAAGCCUGAUCUAGCCAUGCCGCGUGAGCGAUGAAGGCCUUAGGGUUGUAAAGCUCUUUCAGGGGGGAAGAUAAUGACUGUACCCCCAGAAGAAGCCCCGGCUAACUCCGUG
rnacentral:rRNA from 1 species